rnacentral:rRNA from 1 species
CACGUAGGGUGCGAGCGUUGUCCGGAAUUAUUGGGCGUAAAGAGCUCGUAGGCGGUGUGUCGCGUCGGCCGUGAAAACCUGCAGCUUAACUGUGGGCUUGCGGUCGAUACGGGCAUCACUGGAGUUCGGCAGGGGAGACUGGAAUUCCUGGUGUAGCGGUGAAAUGCGCAGAUAUCAGGAGGAACACCGGUGGCGAAGGCGGGUCUCUGGGCAACAACUGACGCU